ACCAGGUACAGUGGUGCAUGCCUGUAGUCUCAGCUACUCAGAAGGCUGAGGCAGGAAGAUCACUUGAGCCCAGAGGUUGUGGGCUAUAGUACACUAUGCCCAUCGGGUGUCCACACUAAAUUCAGCAUGAAUAUGGUGAUCUCCCAGGAGUGAGGGACCAUUAGGUUGCCUAAUGAGGGGUGAACUGGCCCAGUUUGGAAACAGCAGGUCAAAACUUCCAUGCUGAUCAGUAGUAGGACUGCAUCUGUGAAAAGUCAAUGCGCUCCAGCCUGGGCAACACAGUGAGCCCCCCUGCCACUUU
ensembl:misc_RNA Metazoa_SRP Metazoan signal recognition particle RNA